UUUUCACUCUUUUCACAACUUUUCUUCUUUUCAUUCUAUUUUUCACGAAUUUUUCUUUUCUACCCGUGCCUUAUGAAUGAUUUUGGCAUACACACACACACAAGAAUCACUUCCCCCACACUUGUUUUUCUGCAAGAGUUCAACAAAAGGAAUUCCUUCUAAAUUAUGCUUUACUAUGCUUCAAGAACAAGGGUAUGGAUGGUCCUAAUCUAGGCUAGGUGAGGAUAGUGUGGGUAACAAAGAACAUAGGCUACACAAGGCUCAACGGGGUUAAACUUAAACACA
rnacentral:lncRNA from 1 species